AAUAUAUAUAAAUAUAUAUCUUAUCUCAUAGGGGAAGAUUGUAAAUCCAGCUGAGGAUGAACUACCUGCAGGAUGGAGUUUGGACAAGAAAUCUUACGUCGAAAUGUUUCAAAGACCCAGCAACAAACCACUGACAAAAGUCAUCGUAAUAAUUCCAAACAUAGAGUCUGAAAAAUUGUUUGUCACAUUUUGGCGGAAAAUUUGUGAGAAUGCGGGUGCUGUUGUUUUAUUGGCAGAUAAACCAGAUACAAUGGAAGGCUUCGCGGAAGGAACUGUAGUUCUCACAAACAGAUCAUGUCCGUCGUGGGCGGUAGGAAAAGCCAGCGAAUUACAAAUUCCCUUGCUUUCCACAACAUGGGUUGUUCAAAGUUUAAUAGAAGGGAAAUUCUGUCGAUAUGACACGCAACAUCGUUAUAAAUACAAUUACAUACAGAACUAGGUACAUUUAGUUAUCAGAUACAUACUUUUUAGUUCAAGGACAGAUGAGAACAGCCUGUCUUUGCAUAUUAUUAUAUACAUAUUAUCAAAUCUUUACUUUCACUGUAUUACUCUGAAUUACUUGUUUAAGCACUUAUGGAUUACAAAGUAACACUGGUACUUUACUUUAAGUAUUGUUUUGAUACUUGCCCACAAUAUUGGAAAUCCAUUUUUUUCGCGAGUGCCCAUUAAGAAUUAAGUUUUUUACAGUCGAGUAUGUUUUAACGAACGAAAUCUAUGUAAAGUUAAUAUUUAUGAGUAAAAUAUCGAAGCAUAUUUUAUAUGGUAAUAUUGUGUACGAUAUAUGGAUAUCCGAAUAUGCAAAGGUUUCUCUUACUAUGACUCGAUAAGCAGAAAUUAAGAACGUGCAUUACAUACGAUGUCGCUUAUCAUACAUAUAAUAGAGUUAUAGACGUUAGAAUUUUGUAACAUUUUGUAUAAAUCGAAAUCGAAUUUGAAAUCGGAGAUCAUUUUUAUAAGAAACUAAUUGUAAUUUUAGAGAAGAGAAGGUCUCAUGGUUCUUCAUCGUUUACUUAUGUCAAUUAAUUGUUAUUGUCUUUUCUAUUUUACGUUCCUACGAAUAUGCAUUUAUCAGUAAGAUCAGUAAGAUGUGAAAUACUAUUUCACAGAAUCUAUAAAUUUCUCCUUAGCAACUUUCCUUGCGCGAAAAAACUUGAACGUUAACAGAAUCUAAAUAAUUACGAUCAUUUACAUUAAUAAUGUAAAUAACACGGUACAUUGUUCUCUUUUACUUUUCGGCUUUUUUUCGUUUCAUGUUUUAUGUGGCAUAUUCGUAGCGUUCAGAUAAUAUAUUUACUUGUAUGGCAAUUGAUACAUUUUAAGGGCAAAUAUCCGACGAGAUAAGCUAAGCCUAUAACUGUAAUAGAAUCAUCGUCUGUGUCUAAAAAAUUGUGUGAAAGAUACAACUGUUCUCUCUUCUGAAUGUAAUGUAACUGACGGAUACUAGGAGAAAUCUUUUCGAUUCAUAUGGUAAUUGAAACUUAUGAGCGUUUAGUCGACAAUUUUGCUAUUCUUUAAUCAAACGACUACAUACGAGAAUACAUAGACCUCUAUACAACCUGUAUAUCAAAUUUGAUAUCGAAUGGCACACGUCCUGUAAAUAUUUUUUUACUUGGAAUUGUACGAGCAGGUUAUUAAAUCUACUCGCAUUACAUUUUGUGUGUGCUGAAUAUAUAUCCCAUUUAUAAAAAUUCCUCUAAUUAUUCAUCACANACACAUGCAUAUAUACACGUAUAUAUAUACAUAUAUAUUUAUAUAUAUAUAUAUAUAUAUAUACAUACACACACGUAUAUAUAUACACAUAUAUUUAUAUAUAUAUACAGCGGGUAUAUGUUCAGUGAAAAUGAAAAACACAAUAUCAAGCAAAAUGCCUAUAUAAAUACUUCGAAUUAAAAUAAGAUUAAUAUUUUUUUUCAAAUUAUACAAGAUACCAGAGAAUGUAUCUUAAAAACAUUUAGAAUAUUUCCCCAUGAUUUGUUUACAAUGCGAUUUACUGUUAAACCAAAUAUCAAUGAAACGACAAAAAUGUUUGCGUCAGGUGCAAAUGUGUGUAUAUAAGUAAAUAUAUACAUAUACUAAAACUUUAUUAUAUAAGCUGUAGGAAGUAUGUAAAAUGUUUUGGGGAUAAAAUACAGUGACAUAUUUUGGCAAAACCUUGAUUUCCUGUCGUUUCGAAGUUGGAAUGGAUUAUAUGUAUCAACAUUGGAAAUAAUGUACAACAUUCUUUGAGUGUAUGUACAUAUCAUUUAAUAAAAUUACCGAAACAUUUAUUUA